rnacentral:rRNA from 1 species
GACAGAGGUCUCGAGCGUUAAUCGGAUUCAUUGGGCUUAAAGCGUGCGUAGGCGGGCCGUUAAGCGUUUCGUGAAAGCCCCCGGCUCAACCGGGGAACAGCGGGACGGACUGGCGGCCUUGAGGCAGGUAUGGGCGGACAGAACUGUCGGUGGAGCGGUGAAAUGCGUAGAGAUCGACAGGAAUGCCUAUGGUGAAGACGGUCCGCUGGGCCUGUCCUGACGCUCAGGCACGAAAGCGUGGGGAGCAAACAGGAUUAGAUACCCUGGUAGUCCACGCCGUAAACGAUGCGCACUGGAUCGGUGCCGGUCUGACCCGGUAUCGGUCGCAGGGAAACCGUUAAGUGCGCCGCCUGGGGAGUACGGUCGCAAGGCUAAA